rnacentral:lncRNA from 1 species
AAGCACUCUCUUAUUCUCACUUCAAAAACAGAACAUUAGUUUACAAAAAGCAUACUUACACUCUUUAAGUUAAAUGUUACUCUAAAGCAUUCUUUUCACCUCUGCUACUUGCGAUAUUCACUAGUCUAGCCGGCUGAAAGCCAAUGCUAGAUAUUGGAACUUCAUCUACUUUAUAUUCUGCACUCUUUUCUUCAACUGGUAUGUCUCUAGUUAUGUUUUGAAAUCCAAACCCUAUAUGUUUCAUUCAUGCACUAGUUUAUCAGUUAUGAAUUCAACUUGUGUUCCUGCUUACUUUUUUGCUCAGCAUGUCUAAACUCUAUCCUGUUUAAUGUAUGCUUUAUAUUUUGCACUCUUUCCAGCUUACUUCUUUACCUAGCAUGUCUAAAACUUCGUCUUGUUCAAUGUAUGCUUUAUAUUCUGCACUCGUUCCUUCUUACUUCUUUACCUAACAUGUCUAAACUGUAUGUUUAAUCAUGUUCAAGACAUGCCAGGCUUCCUGUAUUACAGCUAUGAUCUAUGUCUUAAAUUACUUAUUGUCCAUGAUUUGCCCGCUAAAUCUCUAAGAUCCCAA